UACAGAGGUCUCAACCGUUGUUCGGAUUCAUUGGGCGUAAAGGGUGCGUAGGCGGUCGCGCAAGUCGGGUGUGAAAUCUCAGGGCUCAACCCUGAAACUGCAUUCGAUACUGCGUGGCUAGAGUGCUGGAGGGGAGACUGGAAUUUACGGUGUAGCAGUGAAAUGCGUAGAUAUCGUAAGGAAGACCAGUGGCGAAGGCGAGUCGCUGGACAGCAACUGACGCUGAGGCACGAAGGCGAGGGGAGCAAACGGG
rnacentral:rRNA from 1 species